UACAGAGGUCUCAAGCGUUGUUCGGAUUCAUUGGGCGUAAAGGGUGCGUAGGCGGCGCGGUAAGUCGGGUGUGAAAUCUCGGAGCUUAACUCCGAAACUGCAUUCGAUACUGCCGUGCUUGAGGACUGGAGAGGAGACUGGAAUUUACGGUGUAGCUGUGAAAUGCGUAGAUAUCGUAAGGAAGACCAGUGGCGAAGGCGGGUCUCUGGACAGUUCCUGACGCUGAGGCACGAAGGCCAGGGGAGCAAACGGG
rnacentral:rRNA from 1 species